rnacentral:rRNA from 1 species
CACGUAGGGAGCGAGCGUUGUCCGGAAUUAUUGGGCGUAAAGAGCUCGUAGGCGGUGUGUCGCGUCGGCCGUGAAAACCUGCAGCUUAACUGUGGGCUUGCGGUCGAUACGGGCAUCACUGGAGUUCGGCAGGGGAGACUGGAAUUCCUGGUGUAGCGGUGAAAUGCGCAGAUAUCAGGAGGAACACCGGUGUCGAAGGCGGGUCUCUGGGCCGAUACUGACGCUGAGGAGCGAAAGCGUGGGGAGCGAACAGG